UGACCUUUGCGCAGACAGUUGAAGUACA
rnacentral:piRNA from 1 species